UUUUUGUCAUUAUCUAUAACAAUUUCAUACUAACAGUAAACACUGGUUAAUACAAGAUUCAUACCAAAAGGAGUUCUCUAUAAUUAUUAUUUUUUGGCUUACAAAAUCUAAAUCGGAAUUUGAAUACUCCGAUAACAGAGGUUCCACCAUUUUCCCUUUCCUCCUCCCCCCUUACAAUUUGGAGGAGUGAAUGUAUUCUUUGAUUCUUUUUUCUUCUCCUUAGUUGGGUUUUAUUUUUUCUUCAAAGGGGUCACACUCUUCUUCACAGGAGUUGCAUUCAUCUUGAGCGGCAAAAUUUGAGUUAAAAUAUUAAAACUUGGAGGCUCUAUUUCAAGAUUAGAUAUAUCUUCUACACAUCUCGAACUCUUUCUAGGUGUAUGAUGAACCUUUUUAUUCUUUGGCAUAUUUGUUAGUGAACCAAAAAUUUUGAGUCUUGCUUACAAGAUUUGCGGCCGUUUUCAUUUGAAUGGAG
rnacentral:lncRNA from 1 species